UUUUUUUUUUUUUUAAGUAAGCUCUUUUCUGUCUCUACUAUGAUUACAUCCAUUUACACUCUUCCAGACCAAAUACAUGCAGGCACUGUGUUUAAUUUUAAAUGCACCACUAAAUGUAAAUGUAAAAUUGGCAGCUUUGAUGUUGCAGCAUUAAAUAUAGCUUAUCUCACCAGUGACAGUGAGAAACAGACACUCUCCUAGGACUGUGAGUUAUGACAGUCUCUCCAAUGAGUGAAAAAUCAUCCCUGUACAGCUGUCACUGAUGAGAUUUUCCUUUUCUUUUUCUUAUGCCUCAUGAGUGUUUCAGCAUAGCUGAAGCCACCACUCUGGUGGCAAAGAUGGAGACUGCUUUAAUGCAACUAAGUAAACCCUUUGCACUGCACAGUUUCCUUUGCCAUUAAAAAAAAAAAUUCUUGAGGAAAAAAGCAUCAAAAAUUGUGCCAGGCCCAGUAAUAUUAACCUAAUACACUAUUUGAUGAAGAGAUUAGAAAAUGACAUGCACACAGUGCCAAGGAUUAAGAAAUGCCUCCAGUGCUCAUGUGAUAUAGAGCAUGACUUCUUUUUGCAGAUUUAUAAAGGUGCAGUUUUAGUCACUUUAACAUAAGAAAUUACCAAGGUGGUUCUUUAAAGAUAACAUCAGAGCACCAAGGAAAUUCAGUCGCAAAUGAGAAAACCAUUGUUCUGGGCAUCAUGUAAAUCAGCUCAGAAAGAAAUGACUUUUCAAAAAGUUUGUAAUCUGUAAAAAAGAGUUUGUAAUCCACAUGCUACUGCCAAGAACACAGCAGAUCAGUAUGAAGUGCUUAUAGAUCCUGGCAAGUGAGACUCUUCAUUCUGUAAUUGUGGAACAAAGACACAUCUUUCAAAACACUCUUGGAAGUUUCAAUCACAGCAGUGUUAGAUAAACAGUGGGUGAUAAAUACUGAUAAAUGAGGGAGCAUACAUAUGUAGCAUACAUAUCCUAAUUUGCCUGUAUCUGACUACAUGACAUUACAUGGCUGUGAUGCUUUUCAGCGUUUGUGCGAGCAACAGACAUUGUAGAAGCAUUUCUGACCACAGUACAGAAGUAGGAUGCCACAAUGCAGUCAUUUCUUCCACAACAGGAGCAGAGGACCCAAACUAAGAGGGUAGCACCUUGAUUAAAAGGAAACAGGAACAACUGCUAAGAUCUCUGUGAGCCACUUUUGUACUAAUUUAUCUGAUAUUUAUAUUUGAGUGAAUUGGCCAUGAGUCUACUUAAUAAAACAUUUAGGAGGGACUUCUGACCAGCCAACACACACAGAUUCACAGACCACCCUCACUCUCUUCCUCCUUACAUAUAGCAUGUUCUCUUGAUCCCCUCAGAUACAUAUCCCUAGGAGAUGAAAGGGGAGGACGUUUUGUUGUUGCUGUUUUACUUUUUGUGCAUAACAGCUCACUUCAAAACAGACAAGCUAUCACAGAGGACUGGGCAUUUCCACUUUAAAAUAUUUCACGUAUUGGAGAAAACCUUUUUGAAUGAUACCUUCCUAAAGGUCUUUAGAAGAGAAGACUAACAAGUAAUUCUCCUUUUUUUUUUUCUACCUAGAAGAUGAGGACAUCUCAAAACUACUUACUCAAUUCCACUAAGAGAGGAUGGGUACUAGUAUCAAAGCUAGCCAUUGCCAAACUUGGACAGUGUGGUCUUUCUCUGGAAACUACUGAACUCCUGCCUCAUCAAAGUUGGGCUGUCAAAGUCUUUUCUUUCAGGAACUGAAGUUUUGCAUAAAUAAAAUAUAUAAAAAUAAAAUAAAAAUAAAACAAAAUAAAACAUCUCUCUGCUAAAAAGUUUUGCUGAGAAUCACCCAGAGACCCAAUUCUGUUAUUAAAGCAAGUAAGUUGAAAUGGGAUCCUAGACCUGCCAUCAUAUAGGAAAAAAAAGCAGUCAAAUUUCAAAGGGUAAAACAUAAUAAUGCAGUUAUUUUUUAAGAGAUACAGGAAAUAACUGACUAGAAAUUUAAGUUUUCCUUCUCUCACUAAGCAUGAGAACAUUUCAAUCUUCAGUUAGCACUAUCUGAAGAGAAACAAGCAUGCAAAGCAUACAGCAAGGCCAGGAGACCUGAAACAAGAUGAAUUUGCUCUACAGCAAAUGCAGGAGCACUGGGAGACAGUAAGGUCUGAGGGAGCUAGAAGUGACUAGAAGAAAUCUGAGCUAAAGAAGGUGACAAAAUAUUUUACAUGGUUUUGAGCUCCUGUUGCAAGAUAGGCUUGCAUGUAAUUCUGUCAUUUCUUGGCCACAAAUGACAGCUGAGAGAAAUUUCCUGUUGAUUACAAUAGAACUUUCAACCUAAAAGAGCCCGAAAGAUGUGGUGCGGUUUAUAACAGAGUUCCAGAAACAGAAUAUAGACUGUGCACACAGGUAUCCAAAUAGG
ensembl:lncRNA